CUGCCCGUAACUCAGCUGGAUAGAGUAGCUGCCUUCUAAGCAGCCGGUCGGGGGUUCGAGUCCCUCCGGGCAGGCCA
rnacentral:tRNA from 1 species